AUGUGGUCCACAAUUCAAAACUUAAAGGCGAUCAAUGAUUUACCUUGGCUGGUCAUCGGUGACUUCAACGAAGCUAUGUGGAAUUUUGAGCAUCUCUCUCUAACCCCCCGACCAGAACCACAGAUGGCAGCAUUCAGAGACACUUUAAUUCUUUGUGAGCUUGUGGAUCUCGGUUUUGUGGGGGUUCCUUAUACAUAUGACAAUAUGCGAAGUGGAGGAGCAAAUGUUCGUGUACGUCUCGAUCGAGCAGUAGCAACUAAUUCAUGGCGAAACCUGUUUGCUUUCUCUUCAGUCUCACAUCUGGCUUCAGGUAGUUCAGAUCACGUGCCUUUGUUGCUGCGUGGCUUGGCUGAUACACAGAAACCGACAGCAGGUAGCAUGCAGUAUGAGAUCUUUUGGGAAACAGAUGCUGGUCUACCAGAGGUAAUUAAAAAGGCAUGGGAAUCUUUUGGUGUGCUGGAUGACUUGGGGAAGGUAAAUAUUGCUUUACGGAAGAACAUGUCUACUCUUCGAACAUGGAGCAAGAAGCGGUUCGGUAAUGUUACUAGAGAGAUUAAUAAAACACUUUCGUGCUUGGAGGAGUUGAUGAAUAUGAACGCAGACCGUCGGGAGAUUCGGGCAGCGUCCGACAAAUUAAAUGAGCUACUUUAUAAGGAGGAAAUGUUGUGGCUUCAGAGAUCAUGCAUUGCAUGGCUCAAAGAAGGUGAUAGAAAUACAAAAUACUUCCAGAGUAAAGCAAGAUGGAGGGCUAGGAAAAACAGAAUUCGGGAAUUGGUAGAUGACGAGGGUAUAUCUCAUUCGGAUGAACAAGACAUGGGUUCCAUGGCUACACAGUAUUUCCAGAACAUGUACUGUUCGGAUCCUAAUUUGGAUGCCACGACUAUUGUUAGUCUUUUUGAUCCCGUUGUUUCUGAGGAUGAUAAUUUGAAACUUUGCACCGAGUUUUCUGACAAGGAAAUAUCUGAUGCUCUCUUCCAAAUAAGACCUUUGAAAGCGCCAGAACCUGAUGGGUUUCCAGCACGGUUCUUUCAGCGGAAUUGGGAUACUUUGAAAGGAAAUAUUAUUAUUGCAGUUAGGGAAUUCUUCAAAACCGGAGUCAUGCCGGAAGGGGUAAACGAUACAAGUAUUGUCCUUAUUCCAAAACUUGCUAACCCCAUUAAGCUCUCCGAUUUCAGGCCCAUUAGCUUAUGCAAUGUGGUUUACAAAGUGGUGUCAAAGUGUUUAGUGAAUAGAUUGAUGCCUCUUUUGGAUGAUAUUAUAUCCCUUGAACAAAGUGCCUUUGUACCUGGACGGAUGAUCGCGGACAAUGCUUUAGUUGCCUUCGAAUGCUUUCACUACAUAAAGCAGGAAAAGGACCCAACAAAAAGUUUUUGCUCUUACAAACUUGAUCUUUCUAAAGCAUACGACAGGGUGGAUUGGCGUUUCUUGAAGCAAGUGAUGCAAAAGUUGGGUUUUGCUCAGCGAUGGAUUGACUGGAUAAUGACAUGUGUCACAUCGGUGAGAUAUUCUGUUAAAUUCAAUGGGACCCUCUUGGAUUCAUUUGCACCGUCACGCGGGCUUCGGCAAGGUGACCCACUUUCACCGUUUAUGUUUUUAUUUGUGGCUGAUGGUCUCUCUGCUAUUUUAAAACAUGGUGUUGCAUCCAAUAGUAUUACCCCAGUUAAGAUUUGUCGCCGUGCUCCCGGGAUCUCGCAUCUAUUAUUUGCGGAUGACACUCUGUUGUUUUUUGAAGCCUCUCGUGCUCAAGCAGAAAACGUGAAAGGUUGUCUAGAUCUUUACGCAAAGGCCACGGGUCAAUGCUUGAACUAUAAUAAAUGCUCAAUUUUGUUUGGGGAUUCAUGUCCUGUUGAUUCACAAAAUGAGGUGAGAGGUACCCUAGAUGUCAUAAAUUGGGUGUUUUAA
rnacentral:rRNA from 1 species